rnacentral:lncRNA from 1 species
AGUAUUCCAGCCGAGCUGGGGCGUCAGCAGUCUCGAGUUUGAGCACGAAGUAGCGCCUGUGCCCAUGCUUCUGUUUCCGCAGGUAGCCGCGUUUGCAGACUUCCUCCCCGACGGGCAGGUCCUCCUCUUCGGACUCGGAGUCUGACCGGGAGCCAGUGGCCGUGGAGAGCCACAUGGCUCCCGGACAAGACGACCCGGUCCCAAUGAGUGCGGUCGGGGUUCCCGAGGAAAGAAGCGGGGUGGUCACCACUGCUGCUAGAGCUGCCGCUGCCGCCGCUGCUGCACCUCUUAGUCUUCUUGUCGCUUGGUCGCGAGUGAAGGAGCAACUCGCCAUGGUGAUGCACGAUGGUUUUAAGUCUGGUUCAUUCUUUCCAGCCGCACAAGGCGGCGGAUCGAGCUUCUUGGGAGAAAGUGUCGGCACCCCCUGAAAACGGGUUGACGACCAGGGCGCUCAGAACUGCUUCCCACCGCUCUGCAGGCACUCCCGAGCCCGCUGCACCCCUGACAGAAGCCCGCGACUCUGAGGCACACGAAUAACAGCGAUGCAUUCAAAAUGAACAUGAUCUUUAUUAAUCAGAAUGCACUUCUAGCCCACGAAACACAGGUUCCCUAAAUACAGUGUUUCUGCCUAUUUGAUUAACGAUGACUAUGAAAGCACAAAUUUGGGGGCCUGCAAUGUAUACAGCCAUAUUGGAAAAAAUUGGACUCGAUUCUUACUGAAAUAACCAGUGUUGGGCUGUGAAGGUAUUUUUCUGUGGGAAAUGCUUUGGAAGGUGCCUUUAAAAGAAUCUCAAAAUAUUGCUUUCCUUUCCUUGAGCGAGACCGAAAAACUUUAGAAAAAGAAAAGCUCAUACCUAGAACAAAGGACCACGCUGAAUGCAUAUUCUAGAGCACAUUUCACAUCCCUCGCGUCAACAAGAAGAAGAAGAGGAGCUUUGAUGCAUUUCAGUCUACAAGUUGACAUCACAAAAGUAAGAACUACUGCCUCCCUCAUUUCUGGAAAAACUGCCGGAGUGUAAGUGCAACCUCCUCAAGUCUCUCUCUCUCUCUCCCUCUCCUUCUCCCUUUCCCUCUCCCUCUCCCUCUCUCCCCCACCACCCCAGUUAUUACUUGACUAGGAUUUUAGACUCUUAAUGGUGGAGAUGGGUCGUGAAUUAUCAAAGGAGUGACCAGGUUUGCAAAGAGGAAUGGAGGGAGAGGAGGAGAGAAAUACAGCAUUUCUCUCUGAAAGAAUGGAAUGUCAGUUCACCCUUGCUCUAGGGUUGAUAUGGCAAAGGGUACUAUUUAUAAAAUCCAACAGUAAACUAGGCAAUAUGUAUAUCAUAAAAAUAAACCAUAUUUCUGCCCUCUUAAGAAUUUGCUCUGUUAGAAACAGAACACACGUAUUUGAAUAAAUGGCUCCUUUUUGAUGCUAUAAUUUAAGAGAAAAAGAAAUUGGUUUGGGUUGUCCCCCAGAUAUUACAAAUAUUCAAUAACAUUCCCUCUGCUGCCAAUGGUUUAUAAGUGCAAUAUAUUCACAGGUGCUGGAAGCAGCCGUGGUUUCGGAAGGGAGCUAGAGGCAGAACGAGUGUGGAUGCUGAGAGAUCCCUGACUGUGACUGCUACAUAUUUCAGCUGCGUAGUCACAUAUAUACAAGAUUCCCUGCACUUACAACCAAAAUGAUAACAAAUGCUCUCAUUUGGGAUUUUGUUUGAUAGUCAUUAGGAUAUUUUAUAAGUCUUUCCAAGCACAAGGUUUUUUUCUUUUUUUUUUUAAAGAGAAAUGUGACAAAUAAGGCAACAUAUUUGAAAGUGCUUUGAGUAAUAACAUGACAUUGAAAAUAUCAAAAUGAAUAUUAAAUGAAAUGGGAAAAUACUGGAGAUUUUUAAAUCCUCAUGUCCUUUUUCCUGUACAUAUAGUUUUUACAUAGAGCAGUAGGCUUACAAUUUAUAUAAUUUUGCAUCCUGUUCUUUUCACUGAACAUUAUACAAUAUUUCCCCAUAUUAUUAUGCAUCAGCAUAAAUAUCAUUUAAAAUACAACAUAUUAUCCAACACAAUCGAUGAAUAUUAAUGUAAUUAAUCAUCUGCUUUGGGGCAUUUAGGUUGUUUUCAUUUUUUUCAGUAUUAUAAAUAACAUGUCAAUGAAUAUCUUCUACCUACAGCCUUUUAAAAUUCCCAUUGGGUAAAAACUGAGCACUGGAAUUAGUAGGCUAAAAGAUAUGAAUAUUUAAUACAUUAUUUUUCAAAAAUAUUAUAUUAGUUUACCCUGUCACCAGACUGAUUGUCAGCAUUGGACAUUCUUAUUUUUAAAAAAUUAGAGAUAAGAUGGGUGAAACGGUAUUCCACUAUUCUUUUUUUUUUUUUUUUUGAGAUGGAGUCUCAUCCUGUCACCGAGGCUGGAGUGCAGUGACGUGAUCUCAGCUCCCUGCAACCUCGGUCUCCCGGGUUCAAGCAAUUCUCCUGCCUCAGCCUCCCAAGUAGCUGGGAUUACAAGUGCCCGCCACCAUGCCCAGCUAUUUUUUGUAUUUUUAGUAGAGAAGGGUUUUCACCAUGUUGGCCAGGCUAGUCUCGAACUCCUGACCUUGUGAUCCACCUGCCUCAGCCUCCCAAAGUGCUGGGAUUACAGGCCUGAGCUACUGCACCUGGCCUCCACUAUUCUUUCAAUGUGCUUUUUUUUUUUAACUAGUGAGAUUAAACAUUUAUAUAUAUUCACUGACAUUAUAUUAUUUCCUAUGUCCUUUGUGUUGUCUAUUGUAUUCUUAGUAUUUUCUUCUUAUGUGUAACUUGUUUAUGUAAUAAAUACAUUAAAACU